AUCCCGGUAGCGCAAUGAUAACGCAUUAGUCUUUCAAUCCAAGGGUCGUGGGUUUCAAUCCUACCUGGGAUG